rnacentral:lncRNA from 1 species
UGCUUUGUUUUUCUUUCAAAUACAAGUUCAGAUGCUUUUAUUUUCAUAUUUGGGUUAGUCUGUAUUCAUCCUGCAGCAUCGUGUGCUAACACGGCACAGAUAAGAAGUGACCAUAACAAAUCCUGCCCUGUUGUUUCCCUCCUCAGUGCUGUCUGUCUGUCUGCAUGGUCUUGUUUGCAGAAAUCUGAGCAGGGACUGAGAUGUCUGGAAAAUCCCCAAGCUGUUAUCGGCUCUAGUCCAAAUAAAUAAGAGUAGAAAGCAACUCCCACUCAUUCCUGUAUGAAAUCCUAUUAAUUUUCCAUGAUUUAGGCUAUGUAUAAAGACCUGCAGGAGUAUUGACCCUUUGCACAAUGUGCAAACCAAACAAAGGCCUGGACCUUGGAUGAACUCCCAGUCCUUCCCUGGGGUCUGACACAUGGAGACCUAAUUCUCAACGUAAUACGCUCAUUCGGAAUAGAUGUGAAGUGAGAAUGGGGAAAAGCUGUCUGCAUUGCACAACUCCACUUGAAAUAACAGAAGGAACAGUGUGUAAGGGCAUAAUUCACACUGAGCACCUGACUGAGCUGUAGUUGGCUGUCCAACUCACUGGCUUGUCCUGCAGUGGUGGGGCUGGGGGUGAACCCCCCUGCCUGGCGGAGACGAGCAAUGGCUGAGACUGAAAAUCUUUCUGCUCAGCAGGUGCUGUGGCUGCCCUACUGUAGGGUCCUGCGUUUUCCCAGAAGCCAUGCAGACUUUUGUUUUCUGGUGUUGGGCUAGAAUCUUCUCAUCCAGUUCAUAAAUGACUGCUUGCAAUUUCAUGCUCACUCUCUGUCCUAAGUACCCACGCAUUGCACCCCACGUGUUGGUGCUUGUGUGCAGCAUACAAAACCUGCUCUCUGGCUGUGCAAUUUCUCCUGGUUGAGGAAGAGGAGAGGCUUGUCCCAACAGAUCCAUCAUCUGCUUCCUGAAUUGCUCUGCAAGGAACCGGCU